rnacentral:rRNA from 1 species
AUUGAACGCUGGAGGCGUGCUUAACACAUGCAAGUCGUGCGAGAAAGGGACUUCGGUCCUGAGUAGAGCGGCGCACGGGUGAGUAACGCGUGGGUAAUCUCCCUUGGUGAUCGGGAUAACAGCGGGAAACUGCUGCUAAUACCGGAUAAUCUUCAUGUUUAACUUCAUGGGGUAAAGGUGGCCUCUGCUUGCAAGCUACCACACCGAGAUGAGCCCGCGUCUCAUUAGCUAGUUGGUAGGGUAAUGGCCUACCAAGGCUACGAUGAGUAGCUGGUCUGAGAGGAUGACCAGCCACACUGGGACUGGAACACGGCCCAGACUCCUACGGGAGGCAGCAGUGGGGAAUAUUGCGCAAUGGGCGAAAGCCUGACGCAGCGACGCCUCGUGAGGGAUGAAGGUCUUCGGAUCGUAAACCUCUGUCAAGAGGGAAGAAACCCUUGGAUUCGAAUAGGGUCCUUGGCUGACGGUACCUCAAAAGGAAGCACCGGCUAACUCCGUGCCAGCCGCCGCCGUAA